AACACGUGAAUUAAAAAACAGCAGUUGAUAUUACUGUUGGAGCACCCGUCUAUCUAUACAAUGAGAUGAUCUCCGGACGCUCGUUGUAAAGGUUGGCGGGAGAUAAAUCAGGCACAGCUUUGUGCCAAGGAAAAUAUGUAGCAUGAGCAUUCAUGGCAUAUCCCAGGGCGCAAGUUUUGGGUGAUUGCUAUUUGCUUGUUAAGAGUCAUAGGACUCUCGGCAAUGGAUAUCUUGGCUCUCGCAUCGAUGAAGAGCGCAGCGAAAUGCGAUACGUGGUGCGAAUUGCAGAAUCCCGUGAACCAUCGAGUUUUUGAACGCAAGUUGCGCCUGAGGCCAACUGGCCAAGGGCACGCCCGCCUGGGCGUCAAGCAUUGCAUCGCUCCAUCAGACACACACCAUCGACGAAAGGAGAUUGUGAAGUCUUUUGAUGCGGAGAAUGGCCCGUCAUGCGCUAUUGCGUGGCGAGUUGAAGAGCGGGAUUAUUUUCUCUCGGUAAUAAUCGAUACAUGGGUGGGUUGGAGGCAUCAAUUGAAUCUCAUCAUCGUAUGCUUACCUUGAGAAAGCUUGGAAAUCUCUGUGCAACCUAGAUCAAGUUGGAAGCAAAUUGAAAUGCGACCCCAGGAUGGGCGGGGUGACCCGCUGAGUUUAAGCAUAUCAAUAA
rnacentral:rRNA from 1 species